AACGAACGCUGGCGGCGUGUUUAAGACAUGCAAGUCGCACGGGAUAAGACAUGUAGUAAUACUUGUUUUAUUUAGUGGCGCACGGGUGAGUAACACGUGAAUUACAUGCCCUAUAGUGGGGAAUAGCCCAGGGAAACUUGGAUUAAUACCCCACGGUAUCGAAAGAUUAAAGGUGGCCGCAAGGCUGUCGCUAUAGGAUUGGUUCGCGCCCCAUCAGCUUGUUGGUGAGGUAACGGCUCACCAAGGCAAUGACGGGUACCUGGGCUGAGAGGACGAUCAGGCACACUGGAACUGAGACACGGUCCAGACACCUACGGGUGGCAGCAGUCGAGAAUAAUUCACAAUGGGGGCAACCCUGAUGGUGCAACGCCGCGUGGAGGAUGACGGUCUUCGGAUUGUAAACUCCUGUCAUCUGGGAGAAAGACCUGACGGUAAAUAGCCGGCAGGGUUGAUAGUACCAGAAGAGGAAGGGACGGCUAACUUCGUGCCAGCAGCCGCGGUAA
rnacentral:rRNA from 1 species